UUUUAGAGUUAAUUUUUUGUAUUUUCUUUUCCCUUUUUGUUUCCCAUCGAAAACGAAAUUAUCAGCUCCCAAAUCAAUAACGUAUAGAAGCAGAUUAAUUCUCCCAUUUCUCCUGAUUCUCUCCCUCUUCUCUGGUAACUUAUUUUCUCUCCCCAAUCGUUUCUCUCCGAAGUCUAUUCUCUCACGAAUCGUCUCUCUCCGAAACAAGGAUUUCUGCAAUCCUGUUGUUGGACUUUAAUUUAUAUAAUUAAUUUUCACUCACACUUUAGGCGAUCAUAUUAAAUUUCAAUCCAUUUCUUGUUUGAGUUCAAUUAGCUGAAUCGUGUCGAAAAUCACUUCUCUGAAUUGUCGAUUACAAGAAAGGCACUUUGAGCAGAAUCUGAUUCUUUUAAGCUUCAAUUUAACAAAUGGUUUAUCACUCAAGUUUUGUCGAUGAGGAAGGAGUUACUAAGGCUUGUGGAUGUCCUUUACUUCCUUUGAAAAGCCAUAUAAAGGGUCCUGCUCCAGCUUCCGAUCAAGAUAGAACUGAUAUUGUUGAUGAAGCUAUCACAUUCUUUCGGGCAAAUGUCUUCUUUAGAAACUUUGAUAUUAAGAGCUCAGCUGAUAAGCUUCUUAUAUAUUUGACAUUCUACAUAAAUGUGGCUUUGAAGAGGCUUGAGGGCUGCAGAACCUUGGCUGAGGGAACCAAAGCCAUCAUUAACUUGGGCUUGGAAAAGGUUCCUGUGCCUGGUGAGCCUAAUUUUCCUUUUCCAGGCCUUUUUCCUCUUCCUCAAUCAAAACAGGAAGCAGAGCUAUUUAGGAAUUAUCUGAAGCAGAUAAGAGAGGAAACCAGUGGGAGACUGUUGAGUGUUACAUAUAGACCCAAUGGCACUCCAAAUAAAUGGUGGUUGGCAUUUGCCAAGAGGAAAUUCAUGAACAUCAUUGUUCCUUGAAUAUAUUGCUGUAUAUCCAAUCAACUGGUAUCUGCCUGACGAAUUCUUCUUAUGACAAGGGAGGAAGAAAGGAUAGGGAUAAAAAAAGUUGCAUAGGUUGCAUUGUGGAUAAUUUGGUUUUGAAUGAAGGCAGUUCGCAAUCAAGUUGAGGGGUUACAUUUCAUUUUUUUGACAUAAGAGAUAAGCCAUGUAUUAUUUCUACUUAAUCCAUUGCCAUAUCAAUUUCUGAUGUCCUUUUCGGUUGAGUAUUAAGAUUAUCAGCAGUUUAGGGUUUGAUAUGAUUUUCAUGUUAUGUAGAUAAGAGAUACACAUGUUCCUUGAUGUUCAUAUGGACUGUCAUGCACUGCUAAAGGUUUGAAGCUGAUAAUAGGUUUGGAGGAUGUCUCUCUAGAAUUAUAUGAUCUGGGUUUAGCCUUUGAUGUUGAAAAACUCUGGUUCUUUGUUUAUAUGAAUUCAACUAAACUUUGGCCUUGUUGA